rnacentral:rRNA from 1 species
AGGGGGACCUUCGGGCCUCUUGCCACCAGAGGUGCCCAGAUGGGAUUAGACUAAUAUGUGGGGUAACGGCUCACCUAAGCAACGAUCCCUAGCUGGUCUGAGAGGAUGACCAAUCCACACUGGAACUGAGACACGGUCCAGACUCCUACGGGAGGCAGCAGUGGGGAAUAUUGCAUAAUGGGCGCAAGCCUGAUGCAUCCAUGCCGCGUGUAUGAAGAAGGCCUUCGGGUUGUAAAGUACUUUCACCGGGGAGGAAGGCGAUAAGGUUAAUAACCUUGUCGAUUGACGUUACCCGCAGAAGAAGCACCGGCUAACUCCGUGCCAGCAGCCGCGGUAAUACGGAGGGUGCAAGCGUUAAUCGGAAUUACUGGGCGUAAAGCGCACGCAGGCGGUCUGUCAAGUCGGAUGUGAAAUCCCCGGGCUCAACCUGGGAACUGCAUUCGAAACUGGCAGGCUAGAGUCUUGUAGAGGGGGGUAGAAUUCCAGGUGUAGCGGUGAAAUGCGUAUAGAUCUGGAGGAAUACCGGUGGCGAAUGCGGCCCCCCUGACAAAGACUGACGCUCAGGUGCGAAAGCGUGGGGAGCAAACAGGAUUAGA